CCUACGGGGUGCUGCAGUGAGGAAUAUUGGUCAAUGGACGAGAGUCUGAACCAGCCAAGUAGCGUGAAGGAUGACUGCCCUAUGGGUUGUAAACUUCUUUUAUAUGGGAAUAAAAUGUUCCACGUGUGGGAUUUUGUAUGUACCAUAUGAAUAAGGAUCGGCUAACUCCGUGCCAGCAGCCGCGGUAAUACGGAGGAUCCGAGCGUUAUCCGGAUUUAUUGGGUUUAAAGGGAGCGUAGGUGGAUUGUUAAGUCAGUUGUGAAAGUUUGCGGCUCAACCGUAAAAUUGCAGUUGAAACUGGCAGUCUUGAGUACAGUAGAGGUGAGCGGAAUUCGUGGUGUAGCGGUGAAAUGCUUAGAUAUCACGAAGAACUCCGAUUGCGAAGGCAGUUCACUGGACUGCAACUGACACUGAGGCUCGAAAGUGUGGGUAUCAAACAGGAUUAGAUACCCCAGUAGUC
rnacentral:rRNA from 1 species